CCCUGCGGGACCCCGUUCGCUGUGUGCCCCGCUCCUGGUCUUCAGCACAAGCCACACCAGCGGAGUACUCCUAGUCUAAAAGUACUCCCUAAGACCACAGAUAAGGCGGCGCGUGGGAAAGAUGCUUGCUGAAAGCGCCAAGGCUGCUGCGGUCUGAAGGCACUGCCCGUCCUCCGCAACAGAUUGUACCUUCCCUCCUUCCUCCUCCAAUACUGAGCCCAUUAGUAAUGGCUAGUAAUUAACACUUCCUUGUUAGGCACUGACACUUUUUUUUUUUUUAAUCAUCACUUCGCAGAUGCAGAAACUUAGUUGGAUUUUAUAAUAUCACUGAAUGCAGCAGUGCACACAAACACACAUGCACAAAAGAAUUACUGCAUACUAACAUUCACCUCAACAAGUAAUUUCAGCUAUUAAAUUUAUACCCACUUCUGUUAGACUAAUGAAGGUAUUAGCAAUAAAAUAAUAUUGAAGUUAAUUCCACUCAAAUUAUUAGUACUCGAGUAUUGAUAAUUAUAAUUGGUAAUAUGAUCAUUAAUAGUCAUUAUUAACAUUAAAGUGUUAUUGUUGAUAUUGAAGUCCUCCACUUCUUGAUCUAUUUUAAAUGAUACAAGAAACGUGUUCCCAUGCUGAUCCAUGGUGUCUGUAUCAAACCCACCAAAAACAAGUGUAGCACCUUGGAUUCUUGCCUGCAGUUUACCAGCAGCUACUUUGCCCCACCUCUCACAGCCAUCCUUCAGAAGCAUGAACCAACUUUUCACUUCACUCGUGAACAGUAAAUAAUUCAGUGACACAAGACUGGAUUAAAUCAGAAGACCAAAAUCCCUGUUCAGAAGGAACAAGUGUUAGGCAUGCUACAUCAGUGAUGGUAUCAGAAGCAUUCCGAAGAGCAGUGUGACAGCAGUGACACAGCUCAGCCCUUUGCAGUGAUACCUGCCUGGGCGAGCCCUGUUAGCUGCACUGCACUACAACACAGCCUGCAGGCACCUCACAGUCUGGCUUCUUGGGUUCCACAGAGGGUUUCAUUAACAAAUACAUCCCAAAGGGUCAGAGUCCAAAACGCUUCAGUAUAGUGUGCUUUAAGUUUCCUUCGUAGGCAAAAUAUCCUCACGCCAAGCCUGAAUUUUCCACGUGGGGUGAGCCCCCAGUGUAGGCUGGCUGUGUACCCACAGUGGACUCAAAUCCGAGUAGAAAUGAAGCCAACACAUCGCUCCCUCCAGUGGCAAGUGUCAGUACUGACGCGUCCGAGAACUCAAGCGUGCCUCCAAAUGACAGGAGAUUGGGAUUUUCUUCAUGCUACAGGAUGCACAUCGAGUUACUUCAUAUGAAGCAUUGUUCUGAAAUAAGGAAUUCCACGGCCUUAUCUGUGGUUGUUAAUGUCAUAAUUCAUAAAGAGCAAUAUAUUUAUGAUGAUGUUAUUUAGAAUAAUUGGCUGAAAUAAUAAUAAUUAAAAAAUAAAAGUAAAAGAACACUUCACCACACCUAUAUGUGGAGUUAGCAAAAUAUCUGCUAGUUGGGAAAGGAGGGAGGAUGUCUGUCCAUUCAGGUGACACAAAUCAAAGUACAUUUAUUUGGAGAUGGGCCUCAUACCUGCUCCACCUGAUGCUACAAAAAAGUUAAAUAGCUUCCUGUUUCUUUCAAAUUUCAGGAUUUGGAAGGCACUUGGCAGAUUUGUAGGUGAGGCAGUAAUCCGCAGCUCUAAGCUGAAGCUCACUUGAAGAACAGUUCUUCAAACAAACCGCUCAGUCAAUGACAGCGAGUGACUCCGCUGGUUUCUGAAUUACAGCCUUAAAGGAACCACACAGGAAAAAUCCAGAUAAUCUAAAAACAAGUAAUGUGGCUAAUCCUUAACUAGUCAAUUCUGCUAACAUUCAUAUCAAUUGUCUUGAUUUCAUACAGACAUUGAACACACUGUUUUUAUCCUGAGACCAGGAAGUAAACAGGCAACUCCUAAGGUUGUUGCAAAUAAUCAACAAAAGAAGGCUUGGACAACUGAAUUAUUUGGGCUUCCCGAUCAUUUUUUCUUUGGAGAGCCACAUUCCAAGAAGAUAUUGGUUGAUGUUUCUCUCUGCAGAAGUCUGUGGUAAAAUUUGAAUUAAUAAAACCCUAAGUAAACCUAAAUGCUUAAAGAGUAUUAUUGAGUUGUGGGUUUGUUUGUUAUUUUUAGUUUAUAAAAAAACACAGAUAAAUCCAAUCCUGAGCUCUAGCAUUAAGUGCCAAAUUCCUACAGGUGCAGAAUGUCUUCAUCUUUCCGUACCAUGUCAGAAAAAAAACAGGGAUAUCACCUAUUUCUGGAUCCCACACAAAUGGAUGCAUGAAGAAGAGAAGGCACAAGAGACAAGAGGAAUUAAAAGUUCCAGCUUACCAGAUGACAGUGUUUGCUACUACUCCUGGCUUUAGAAGCCACUGGAAGCUGCUGCAAAAUAGAGGAGCCUUCCAAAACUUGCUGCUAUUGGCUGACUUGGUGGCUACACAGCUCCACAAGUCAAGUCCCAAAAGCUUCCUUUAUGUCAGCCCUCUCUGCUGCUCUGAGUGGCUCCUAAUGCUAAGUUUCAGCAUACAGAAUUCUAAAUUCCUGAAAUGUCAUUCCGUCCACAAAGUAUUCAAUACACUCUUAAUAGUUCACCUAAAAAAAUAAAACUCAUGGAUAAUUUUUUCCCGCUGACUCACUCCGAAGCUCUGACAUUCAUUUUGCAGUCCUGUGACUUAUUUGGUAUUAAUUUUCCUAGCAGAGAUCUUUGUCAUAUGCUAAAAAAGAAUGUGACUGAUAUGCAAAAUAGAGGAUAAAAAAAAAUUGUGAUGUAGUUUACCAAAA